CUAUAUUAAUCGAGAAUAACGAAGCUAUCACCUUCAAUGCCGCUAAUGUCGAAACAACAAUUACUGUGAUGUGAUCAUAGUUGAUGUGUCCGUUUUCAUGUGGCACUGGCUGCACCUUUGUGCUUCCAAAAUGGAUCGCUUUCUCUAACAGCGCAACUGUAAAGUCCUAAUUGGCUGAAUCGAAAUUCCUCUGUAUAAGCGGAAAAGAAGAAUGUCAGAUAUCUCUGGAUUGGCUGCUAGCAGUCGAUGUAUCCAUCGAUUCAUCUUCUAGUGUAUCUUCAGUAUCUUCAAUCAUCUUGGCACCGGAAGGAGUUUAUAGAAAUUUCGCGAUCCGGUCGGGAUUAAGACGUGCGUGGCUGUGAAACAUGAUUACAAACUUACAAUAUGCCAGAGUUCAAGUACGCCAAGUUAAACUGUAUAAUCAAACAACAACUGCAGUCUUUGGAAGAUUUGAAAAUAAAGCAGAUGCAUUAUGGAUUCAAAAAAAUGAUGAAGCUCAAGCAUUUUUGACGAGAGAGUGUCUUAAGUUAGUUUAAUUAAGACAUUUCAUUGAACUAUUCUAUUACUGCACAGAUAUGGACAAGAUAUAUGGUGAUCAAUCGAUCACAUUUCAAAAAUAGUUUCGUUGACACAAAGAUUUAAAAACAUGAAUAUGGAACAAAAAGAUCCUAUUAUCAUCGUAAAAAUUUAAUCAAGUACAAAAUAUGAUGAUGUUCGCAUAGCUCGCUCUGUAUGAACAGAAGACAGAUGACUGAAGACAGAUUAUUUAAUAAAUGAAUGCUGUUGAAAAUGUGAGAUAUACAAUAUCUUGUGAAGAGAUGAAAAAAGUUUAUUCUAUAUGAAAGGACUUUAUCAAAAAAAUCAUAUUUGCCGUGAUUUUUGUAUUUCCCGUGAUUCUCGUGGCACUGAUAUAACAACAACAACAACAACAACACAUAUCAUUUUUGAAAAUUCGAAUAUGACACUCAUAAUUAUACACUGAAAAAGGCAUAUGGAAAAGGAUAAUCCUUAAAAGCUCAAAAAAAUGAAAAAGAAGACAAAAAUAUUAAACAUUUUAGUUGCUUUGCUUUUCAUUCUAGUUGCAGCUGAAUUAUUUAACGUAGAGAAUGUUCUAUGAAUGAAAGAUAAAGAUACAUGUUUUGCCGAUUUGGAUGCGACAGAAUACAUAUUUUUCAGAAAAGGAUAGUUCAAAAAUAUGAAAAUGUAUAUAGAAAAUACACACACGAUUCGAAUGAGCGAUGGCAAUACAUUGUAUGUUAAAGCAAAGGAGACAUUAAUGUUGAAGUAAUAAAUACUGAAAUACAGAAAUCAAAGAAGAAUUUGUUGUUAAUUGAAUGUUCUUUUAAUAAAGGAAUGAGAAUUAUUUUUGAAAAUAAUAGUAAA